rnacentral:lncRNA from 1 species
GGAGUUACCGCAUCGAAGAGCUCCAUCGCUGGUGAGUUUCGAUUUUCUACUUUUUUAGCCCACUGAGGGCCCUAAAUGUGUUUUCUCGCAGGAACUGAUGCAAGUUUUGCUGAAUUCGACUGAAAAUUGCCAAAAACAGCCAACCCGAGGUGGGUCGCCGCCACCGCCAGCGGUGCCGUCGUCGGAGCAUGGCGGAGCCGCUGUGCUAGAUUUUUGAAAUUGGCCGAGUAGGCCCUGGAACUGAUUUUGGGUUUAUUGGGACAUUUGUAGGUACUGUAAGCGUGUUCCAAUUUCCGAAGAAAAUUUCAGGGAACCCAAGGACCGCCCGUAGGCACAGUAACCAUUUAGUUUUCGACGUCAAAUCAGGUAAGGACCCUUCACCCUAUUUCUUAUCAUAGAUGUGAAGUUUGAAUAAAUAAUAAUACGGUCUUUUGUACAAGUUAGAUAAACAUGCAUAAUUAAUUACGGAUUGCUAAUGAAGUCCAAAAUUGGACAUUGUUCUCUAUUGAUUUU